rnacentral:rRNA from 1 species
GGGGAAUAUUGGGCAAUGGGCGAAAGCCUGACCCAGCAACGCCGCGUGAGGGAAGAAGGUCUUCGGAUUGUAAACCUUUGUCCUAUGGGACGAAACAAAUGACGGUACCAUAGGAGGAAGCUCCGGCUAACUACGUGCCAGCAGCCGCGGUAAUACGUAGGGAGCAAGCGUUGUCCGGAAUUACUGGGCGUAAAGGGUGCGUAGGUGGUCAUGUAAGUCAGAUGUGAAAGACCGGGGCUUAACCCCGGGGUUGCAUUUGAAACUGUGUGACUUGAGUACAGGAGAGGGAAGUGGAAUUCCUAGUGUAGCGGUGAAAUGCGUAGAUAUUAGGAGGAACACCAGUGGCGAAGGCGACUUUCUGGACUGUAACUGACACUGAGGCACGAAAGCGUGGGGAGCAAAC